GACGAACGCUGGCGGCGUGCCUAAUACAUGCAAGUCGAACGCAGUGGGGACGGGUGAGUAACACGUGGGUAACCUCCCAUCAGAGGGGAUAACACUUGGAAACAGGUGCUAAACCGAUACUGAUGGAUGGACCCGCGGGGCAUUAGCUAGUUGGUGGGGUAACGGCUCACCAAGGCCACGAUGCAUAGCGGACCUGAGAGGAGGAUCGGCCACACUGGGACUGAGACACGGUCCAGACUCCUACGGGAGGCAGCAGUAGGGAAUAUUCGGCAAUGGACGAAAGCCUGACCGAGCAACGCCGCGUGAGUGAAGAAGGCCUUCGGAUCGUAAAACUCUGUUGUUAGAGAAGCGGUAUCCAACCAGAAAGCCACGGCUAACUACGUGCCAGCAGCCGCGGUAAUUC
rnacentral:rRNA from 1 species